AUCUCAGGCCACGGCUGUUAGCUCUUAUUCUAGUCCUAGCUGAAUGUUUCUUUGCUAAUACAACAAUGUACUUCUCUAUACCUCCGAAACUGUCAAAGUUACCUACGGUUCUCUUUCCUAUCCUGUCUUGAUGACUGCUAUCAAAUUCUAUUCAGUUAUAGCCAACCUACAGUGCUCAAUCUGUAAGAAAUUUGUUAAUUAUUAAGUUUGUGACAGUCAGAAUUCCCCAAAGCCUCUAAGGUUCCUCCCAGGAAGUCUCAGGAGAUGUGGACACAGCUGCAGGAUACUGCCUGGACUGUGAUGUGAUCACCACUGAAACACGCAGUGGACAGCACUCGAUACUCUGAGUCACGUGACCUAGCUAAAACCAAGCAUCUUGUCAAGUCCAGGUGCUUACUACACCCAGGACAGCUCCAGAGAAGCAACCUUCAUAUGCUCCAAUCUCCUCUCAUAGACACACAUUCCUACUGGACCUGUCCCUUCUGACCUAUCCUCAGAUGGCUCCACAGACCCUGGACAGCAAAGAGGCAGCCAACUCUCCUAAGACUGGAUAAACAUCCCCCAUAACUGAAAGAUCCUGACAGAAUGCAAAAGGUCACAGAAGCCCUGAAAUUGGCAAAAUAGAUUUCAUGGCUAGCAGAACUAGCUUCACUGAUUUAGAAAAAUAGAGGUGCACAAUGCUCUGGCCGCUCCUUGAACCCGUGUGUCUGCCAAUGUUCUGGCCGCUCCUUGAACCCGUGUGUCUGCCAAUGUUCUGACCGUUCCUUGAACCCAGGUGUGUGCCUACUGCUGCACCUCACUGCCAGGUGUUUGUGAUAUUGGUUGCUGGGACAGAGUCGGAAAAUCUCCCCAGCAACCACAGCCCGGCCAAUCCUGAAUUGCUGCACCUGCUCCAGACUCUUUCCUUGUACCCCUCCCAUACCCAUUUCUUGAGAAUAGACAUUGUUUAGAUCUGGAAAUCCCCUACUCCCCCCUUCUCCUUUCCCCCCUGAGGACCUAUACUGGAACCCCUUUCCCCUCGGGGUUGACUCCUCCUCUACCCCUGUGUGGGAUAUGAGUCGUCCCCAGAGCUCUGGCUUUCCCGAAUAAAGC
rnacentral:lncRNA from 1 species